AACGCUCGCCAGGCGCAGAUUCAUCACAGCAGAAGCGGUUUCGUUUCCCUAUUUUUCAGCGUGGCAGAGGAACCGAGACCAACGAGGACACGUUAUUGUAUUUUGAUUCUUUGUUCCUUAUUUUUUCAUUUAAAAUAAUUCGCUCUGUCACGUUGGCUGUGCUUGUUUUACCAUUUUUAUCCAGUAAGAGGCGCUGGCUAGCUGCUCUGCCCCCACUCUUUGACUCCAUUUAUCCCUCCUCUUUCUCCGUGCCUGCUCGAUAACUUUCCCCGGCCUACGGUUCAUCUUUCCCCGCCACUCAGACGCAGACAUGCCGGAGUACUUGGAGGACCCGUCCGUGCUCACCAAAGACAAGCUGAAGAGCGAGCUGCUGGCUGCUAACGUGGAGCUGCCGAGCGGGAACCCGACCAAAGACGUCUAUGUGCAGCUGUAUCUGAAGAACCUGACCGCGCAAAACCAGACCGACCCCUCCGCCACCACCCUGGACGCCUUCUCCAGCGAUGAGGAGCUCCCGCCGGUCAUACCCACCAGCAGGAGUCGGUCCUCCGGAAGGAAAGCCACAAGGAAAACAGACAAAGUCCGAUCUGAUGAGCUGGAUGUGACCACGCUGACAGACGAGGGUCUGAAGGACGAACUGCUGAAGCAUGGGGUCGACGUCGGGCCGAUUGUUGCAUCCACCCGUAAAGUGUAUGAGAAGAAGCUGCAGAAACUUCUGGACGACGGCCCCAUUCAGGUGACACAGCUGAUCGUCACAGAGAUACAAGUCAACCACAACGGGAACUCUGAAUCUGACCUUUACAGCGACAAAGAGGAUGAAGUGGUACCUGAACCAGAACCUGAACCAGAGCCAGAGCCCGAGCCAGUCCCAGUGGUGGAGAGAACGCUGAGGAGCCGAGGGAAGACGCCUGUCACCACCCGCAGCUCCAGCUCCAGCAGCAAACACCACGUGAGACACCAGCUGAUGGAGGACGAGGAUGCUGAAGAAGAGUCAGUCCUGCAGGUGAAGCGCAGAUCCAGGAGGCUAUCACAGAGAACGAUCAUGCCUGAGGAUCUCAGGCCAUCACUGACCGAUCAGGUUCAGCUGCAACCUAAAAGGCGAGUUUCUCAAAGACUGGACAGUCCAGCUCGAGCUGAACCUCGAUCCACCUCAGACAGAUACACGAAGCUCCAGGAGGAAGAGCUGUCUGUCCGUCCAUCUAAACCAAGUAAGGUUUCCUCUCAUAAACCAGACGUCCUGCUCGACACAGCUCUGAUGGAGGUUGGAUUAAAUCAGAAUCAUGUUUGGGAUCUGCACUGUGGUGAAAUCAUGGUUUAAUGUGAAGCUAUAUUCAAGUAAACUCACUGUGGCAGGAUUGUGUUGAAAGGAUCACAUCAAUACUUUGUCACACAUCUGAUCAGCCCCCACUGUGGUGAUUUAUAAGCCUUGAAUGUGUUACAUUUGGUGGAUUGGUUCCCUGUUGGAUUGCUUUUUUUUAUAUAUAUACAUAUUUUUGGAUCGUUUUUAUGUAAGUCAGCCAAACGGCAGCAGAUUCAGUCUUCAAUUAAUGACAACCAUUAAGCAUUCAGAGCUUUUAAAGAGUUUAAAGUACUAAUCUUCUGACUGUUGAUCUUAAGAGCUAAAACUGGAUUCCUAAAACUUCUGGGUCAUCAGAUCAGAUAUUUUGACCAAAUAAAGAGGAUUACUGAGAGGAGUAAAACUCGCUUUUUGUUCUGUUCAUUGCAGCUUUAAGCUAAUUUGAUUUUUGUCUGAUGGGUUUUGUGUAGUAACUUAGGAAGUAAGCCAUCAAUUAACCCUGCUAAAAAGUUGAUUCCCUGCACAAUUAGGCAUGGUAAUUCAGUGACCAGGCAUGAUUGCCCAGCUCAAAGAAUAAAAUGGGCUCGUGCUAUAUGCUAUGUUUUUUGAAGCAACCUCCUCAAGAAACAUCUCAUGAAGUCCAUGUUAAUUUAAAUCCGAAAUUUGUAUCUUAGCACACAAGGGAUGUUGGAAUAAGGUUGCUGUAAAUAUGUGGAAAUACUGAGAUCUACGUGUGGCUAAAUUUUUGAUUUAGACUGUUAGAAAGUUGUUCGCCACAUUCAUAGCUUGGUUCCUGACAAAAAUAGUGCCCUAACAUGUCCCCGAUCCCCAUGGGGAAUUACCCCACCCCCAAUGCUACAAUGAUAUGAAACCACCAAGCAGUUCAUCUUAAUACAGUCUGCUGUUAGCUGAUGUCACUGCCUUUAUGGAAAGUUAACAGCCAGCUGCAUGCUGUGUUUUUGUAAAUUUUCUAAAUCUAUCAGCCACAGUGGCCUACAGGUUAUUGAAAGUGUCAAAACAGAGAGAUUUGUGCCAGAAAACAGUAAAUUUAUUCCCCAAUUUCUAUCUCUGCUCUGGCCAGAGUUCACAGUAAGGUCAGGGAGAAGGCUAAUAGCUGGAGUGCUUGUCUAGUUCUUACUUGAACCAGAUGCUGCAGGAACAAACAUCUUACCUUCUGAAGGUGUGUUUUAAUCCAUAUUUCACUUUUCUUAAGUCCUGGAUGAUUAAAAGAAGGGGACUGGCUUUGUCUCUCUCUAAGCAGCAAUGGUUUAAUUCCUCCUGCCUGUUAGCCUAGCAGUGCUAAAGUUUAGUAAAGUGUCUGAUGAUAGACACAGUCUAGUCACAAUAAAAGCCUCCAAUGUGAAGCAUCAUUGAAGACUUUUCUUUUCAAGGGGAACAUCAGGAAAUGGAGUGUUUUGUGCCGCAACUUAACAACAAAGACGCCUCAUAAACGUGAGAGAGAAAUAACACAUAACUCAUACAAUGAGAUAUAAUAACUUAAGUGUUAUAUACAGGAUGAGAAAAUUUUAGAGGAUUGUAUUUCUUGUGAGUGGGUGUGGCUUCAGCUCGUUCAACCGACACGCUCACACCACCCUAGAGCAGAUUUUACGGUCUCAUUUUAAUGAUUUUAAAGCUUAAUUUUAUAAACUUCGAGAUGUUUUUAAUGACUGAAAUUUGGCCUGAUGGGCCAUAACACAGUGCCCUGUCAUACAACAAACCUAAAAUACAGAUUUUGUUUUUUAUCACUUUACACAGACUUUAAAGUGGACUUGGUCACAGCGCCCAAGCACAGUAAAUUUAUGUUCACACUGAUCAAACUGAAUAAGACUAAGGUUUGGAUUUCUACUUUGAAAUUACCCUGAAGUUUUUGGGAACCAAAUAGGAAUUUUUUUUUUAUUACAAGACUACUUCAAAGAAUUAGCCUAAACUACAGAGACCACAUGCUCAAAGUGUCAGGGGAACUGCGUAUUGGUGGUUUCUAAAAGUUGCAUUGCAUUUUCAGGCACCAAAAGCACAAUUGUCAUUUUAAUAACCAGCCAAAAUGCCACCACUGGUUACAGUUUUCAGCUGAAGUUAUUCUUGUAUUAACAUGGCCUCAUUUUGCAAAAAUGUCAUUGUAUAGGGCUUUUUUCUCCAGCAGAACUCUGUACAGUAAAGGAUCAAACAAAUAAGUGAGCAGAGAUCUGACUUUGAAAGUAAAGCUUUAGUGAUCAUGCAGAGUUUAAACAUCAGAAUGUGUGACCGGAGAGAGCUGCGCUGAUUUAAACCAUCUGAGUAUCAGGAUCCUGAACCUAGUACUGAACCUCUGAGAGCAGCAGUGAGGAACAAACAUGAGGAGCAGAGUCAGCGCUCGGCUGUUACACCGAUCAAACCAUCCUCUCCUGUGGUGAUCAUCAACCG